AUAAACGCUAGCGGCAGGCCUAACACAUGCAAGUCGAGGGGCAGCGGAUGGAGUGCUUCGGUACUCCUGCCGGCGACCGGCGGACGGGUGCGUAACGCGUAUGCAACCUGCCUUCAACAGGGGGAUAAUCCGAAGAAAUUUGGUCUAAUACCCCAUAAUAUUCCGACAGGCAUCUGUCGGAGUUGAAAGCUUCGGUGGUUGGAGAUGGGCAUGCGUUGUAUUAGCUGGAUGGUGAGGUAACGGCUCACCAUGGCGAUGAUACAUAGGGGGACUGAGAGGUUUUCCCCCCACACUGGUACUGAGACACGGACCAGACUCCUACGGGAGGCAGCAGUGAGGAAUAUUGGUCAAUGGACGGAAGUCUGAACCAGCCAUGCCGCGUGCAGGAUGAAUGUGCUAUGCAUUGUAAACUGCUUUUGUACGAGGGUAAACACAGAUACGCGUAUCUGCUUGAAAGUAUCGUACGAAUAAGGAUCGGCUAACUCCGUGCCAGCAGCCGCGGUAAUACGGAGGAUCCGAGCGUUAUCCGGAUUUAUUGGGUUUAAAGGGUGCGUAGGCUGUUUUUUAAGUUAGAGGUGAAAGCUCGACGCUCAACGUCGAAAUUGCCUCUGAUACUGAGAGACUAGAGUGUAGUUGCGGAAGGCGGAAUGUGUGGUGUAGCGGUGAAAUGCUUAGAUAUCACACAGAACACCGAUUGCGAAGGCAGCUUUCCAAGCUAUUACUGACGCUGAGGCACGAAAGCGUGGGGAGCGAACAGGAUUAGAUACCCUGGUAGUCCACGCAGUAAACGAUGAUAACUCGUUGCCGGCGAUACACAGUCGGUGACUUAGCGAAAGCGUUAAGUUAUCCACCUGGGGAGUACGUUCGCAAGAAUGAAACUCAAAGGAAUUGACGGGGGCCCGCACAAGCGGAGGAACAUGUGGUUUAAUUCGAUGAUACGCGAGGAACCUUACCCGGGCUUAAAUUGCAGAUGAAUUACGGUGAAAGCCGUAAGCCGCAAGGCAUCUGUGAAGGUGCUGCAUGGUUGUCGUCAGCUCGUGCCGUGAGGUGUCGGGUUAAGUCCCAUAACGAGCGCAACCCCUACCGUUAGUUGCCAUCAGGUCAAGCUGGGCACUCUAGCGGGACUGCCGGUGUAAGCCGAGAGGAAGGUGGGGAUGACGUCAAAUCAGCACGGCCCUUACGUCCGGGGCGACACACGUGUUACAAUGGCCGGUACAGAGGGUAGCUACCUGGUGACAGGAUGCCAAUCUCGAAAGCCGGUCUCAGUUCGGAUUGGAGGCUGAAACUCGCCUCCAUGAAGUUGGAUUCGCUAGUAAUCGCGCAUCAGCCAUGGCGCGGUGAAUACGUUCCCGGGCCUUGUACACACCGCCCGUCAAGCCAUGGGAGUUGGGGGUGCCUGAAGUACGUGACCGCAAGGAGCGUCCUAGGGCAAAACCGAUGACUGGGGCU
rnacentral:rRNA from 1 species